rnacentral:rRNA from 1 species
UACGGAGGGGGCAAGCGUUGUCCGGAUUUAUUGGGCGUAAAGAGCUCGUAGGCGGUUUGUCGCGUCGGUUGUGAAAACCCAGGGCUCAACCCUGGGCCUGCAUUCGAUACGGGCAGACUAGAGUAUGGCAGGGGAGACUGGAAUUCCUGGUGUAGCGGUGAAAUGCGCAGAUAUCAGGAGGAACACCGGUGGCGAAGGCGGGUCUCUGGGCCAAAACUGACGCUGAGGAGCGAAAGCGUGGGGAGCGAACAGG